UACGUAGGGGGCAAGCGUUGUCCGGAAUCAUUGGGCGUAAAGAGCGUGUAGGCGGCUUGGUAAGUCCGCUGUGAAAGUCCAGGGCUCAACCCUGGAAUGCCGGUGGAAACUGCCGAGCUAGAGUCCGGAAGAGGCGAGUGGAAUUCCUGGUGUAGCGGUGAAAUGCGCAGAUAUCAGGAGGAACACCAAUGGCGAAGGCAGCUCACUGGACCACAACUGACGCUGAUGCACGAAAGCUAGGGGAGCAAACAGG
rnacentral:rRNA from 1 species